GACGAACGCUGGCGGCGUGCUUAACACAUGCAAGUCGAACGGAAAGGCCCUGCUUUUGUGGGGUGCUCGAGUGGCGAACGGGUGAGUAACACGUGAGUAACCUGCCCUUGACUUUGGGAUAACUUCAGGAAACUGGGGCUAAUACCGGAUAGGAGCUCCUGCUGCAUGGUGGGGGUUGGAAAGUUUCGGCGGUUGGGGAUGGACUCGCGGCUUAUCAGCUUGUUGGUGGGGUAGUGGCUUACCAAGGCUUUGACGGGUGGCCGGCCUGAGAGGGUGACCGGCCACAUUGGGACUGAGAUACGGCCCAGACUCCUACGGGAGGCAGCAGUGGGGAAUAUUGCACAAUGGGCGGAAGCCUGAUGCAGAAACGCCGCGUGCGGGAUGACGGCCUUCGGGUUGUAAACCGCUUUCGCCUGUGACGAAGCGUGAGUGACGGUAAUGGGUAAAGAAGCACCGGCUAACUACGUG
rnacentral:rRNA from 1 species